GUCGGUAGCUCUCCAGUUACAAGCCACGCCUUGAUCUACAAACAUGAGGAUUACUAUUCUACUUGCGCUGUUCUGCAGUUUUGUGUCAGUUGUCCUCAGCGCCCCACAAAUGGGUAGAGGGAUCUACGGAAACCCUGGAGGCAUGAUCAGUAUGGGACCCUAUGGCCGAUCCAUUGGCAGACCUAUGAAUGGACGUUCAUCAUUUCUAGGAUCCGUGAACCGAAGAGGAUGAGAAGAUCUUUAAUAUUUUUGAAUAAUGAAAACAACGUUCUUAGAUUCACCAAACUAUUUCAUUCGGCUGAUAAAACAUUUAUCUCAUACCAUUUUCUUUACAGCCUAAUUGUACAGAAAAAUAAAAUAACUUUGUAUCGUACGUACCUAAUCUAUUUUGUGACACGGAUAUGGAGUUGUGACUCGGACUACAUUAUGAAUAAAGAACAACAUAUUUUAUUGUCUUAUAGUUUAUUAAUCAUUUAGAAUAUAAAACAAUAUGUCAGCUAUUAAACCGUUAGUUCAGUACAACA